CCUUAGAGUUUGAUCCUGGCUCAGGACGAACGCUGGCGGCGCGCCUAACACAUGCAAGUCGAACGAGCGAGAGGAGGUUUACUUUCUCAAGCGAGUGGCGAACGGGUGAGUAACGCGUGAGGAACCUGCCUCAAAGAGGGGGACAACAGUUGGAAACGACUGCUAAUACCGCAUAAGCCCACGACCCGGCAUCGGGUAGAGGGAAAAGGAGCAAUCCGCUUUGAGAUGGCCUCGCGUCCGAUUAGCUAGUUGGUGAGGUAAUGGCCCACCAAGGCGACGAUCGGUAGCCGGACUGAGAGGUUGAACGGCCACAUUGGGACUGAGACACGGCCCAGACUCCUACGGGAGGCAGCAGUGGGGAAUAUUGCACAAUGGGGGAAACCCUGAUGCAGCGACGCCGCGUGGAGGAAGAAGGUCUUCGGAUUGUAAACUCCUGUUGUUGAGGAAGAUAAUGACGGUACUCAACAAGGAAGUGACGGCUAACUACGUGCCAGCAGCCGCGGUAAAACGUAGGUCACAAGCGUUGUCCGGAAUUACUGGGUGUAAAGGGAGCGCAGGCGGGAAGACAAGUUGGAAGUGAAAUCCAUGGGCUCAACCCAUGAACUGCUUUCAAAACUGUUUUUCUUGAGUAGUGCAGAGGUAGGCGGAAUUCCCGGUGUAGCGGUGGAAUGCGUAGAUAUCGGGAGGAACACCAGUGGCGAAGGCGGCCUACUGGGCACCAACUGACGCUGAGGCUCGAAAGUGUGGGUAGCAAACAGGAUUAGAUACCCUGGUAGUCCACACUGUAAACGAUGAUUACUAGGGGUUGGAGGAAUGACCCUUCAAUGGCCGCAGUUAACACAAUA
rnacentral:rRNA from 1 species